ensembl:lncRNA
CAAUUAUUUUUCCCAGGGGGCCAAAUGGGAAACUUAAAAUCAUUUGGAGGGCCGGCCAAAAUGCCAAAAUCUUUUUGUAACGUAUAAUUAUGCAAUAUACACUUUAUUUCUAUAUUAAAAGCAGUAAAUGGCAUUGUUUUGACCGCUGGUAAGAGUGUAUGUUAUUAUUUGGAAAAUAAAAGGUGAGGUUAGCUUUCAAAAAUAUAAUUUAGUCAAAUAUAAUUUUCAAAAUGAUGAACAAAAUAUGAAACAUUUGACUAAUUUUCAGUCACGUUAAUAACAAAGGGCAUUUUGAGUGUCAUAUACUAUUGAAACAAGGAUGUUUCUUGUUUCAAUAGUCAUCACAUCAUCUUUGUAGCCAAAAUAAACAAGACAUGUCACCUCUACUGUGUAACACACACGAUCGCCAGCUUCCCCAGGCAGGAAAAACCGGUCACAUGACGCUCAAGCUUUCUGAUUGGCUCAAAAAACACCUGCCAGACUCCUGAGGCGGUUUCAUCUGUCACACCUGAAGCAGGAGGUGAAGCGGCUCGGGGACUUUCCUCACUGCAGAAACAGCAGAUUAAAUCCAUAAUUCCCGUGAGAAGCGGCAGAGGUUGGUGUGAAGGUGUGGACUCUGCUAUGAAUCAGGCUGAGGACCCAGAGGACGGAGUCCCUCCCUCUGAAGCCCCUCUGUGUGGGGAACAUGACAGCCAGACCAAAGCUCAGAGGUGAGAGGACCAUCUCCAACUGUCUUCCACUCGUCUCCAUGUCCCAACGUCUCUGACUCACUGACUCUGCUUCUACAUGUGUGACCAG